rnacentral:rRNA from 1 species
CCUACGGGUGACAGCAGUGAGGAAUCUUGGUCAAUGGACGCAAGGCUGAACCAGCCACGUCGCGUGAAGGAAGAAGGAUCUAUGGUUUGUAAACUUCUUUUAUAGAGGAAUAAAGGUAUCCAAGUGUGGAUAUUUGCAUGUACCCUAUGUAUCAGCAUCGGCUAACUCCGUGCCAGCAGCCGCGGUAAUACGGAGGAUGCGAGCGUUAUCCGGAUUUAUUGGGUUUAAAGGGUGCGUAGGUUGUUUUUUAAGUCAGCGGUGAAAGUGUGUGGCUCAACCAUACAAGUGCCGUUGAAACUGGAAGACUUGAGUGUGUUUGAGGUAGGCGGAAUGCGUGGUGUAGCGGUGAAAUGCAUAGAUAUCACGAAGAACUCCGAUUGCGAAGGCAGCUUACUAGGCCAUAACUGACACUGAAGCACGAAAGCGUGGGGAUCAAACAGGAUUAGAUACCCUUGUAGUC